GCAAAAAACUGUUUUAGACCAUAAAUGGUUACCGUCCUAUGGGAAAUCCCAUUAUACGUUAGCAUCAAGCUAGCAGACUUAGCUUUAGAUUGAUGUCUACUUUCAUGGACCGUUUCAGAUCUAUUAAUCGAUUUUAUCAAUUUUAUAGCCAUUUUUUUCUGUAGAGCAGCAGCACGUUAGAAGAACUUUGCCUCUGACUUAUGGGCGGGACUAUUGAUGUGAAGCAACCCCGCCCCCUUUCCUCUUGCUGUUAGCUGUCGAUCUACACCAGGAGGGGGCAAAGUAUUUGAAUCGUGGGCCAAAAAAGUUAUGAGCAGAUGUGUGAAAUGUUUGAUAAUCUACCUCAUAAAAUAUAGAAAUAAUAAUAAUUUUGAUUGAAAAUAAAUAUGUACAGUUUUAGACAAAAUAUUUUUUGGAUUUUUAUUUAAAAAUUGUGACUUUUGUACUAAAAUGACUGUCCGACUCGGAAAAUACACAUGUACAUCAGAAUCUUCUUAAAUCACACGAAUGCAGAAUAUUUGUCUGCAGCUAAACAAAUGUCAAUGUUUUUGUAGUGCACCACUUAUGGGUAGACACCAGAAUUACAAGGAAAAAAACAUUUACAAGUUAUCCGUAUGAUUUAUUCUAGUUUGGCGGGCCAGAUUAACUUGUAGUUUUACGCACUUUCCCAAGAUGUUCAUGUAUCCAUUUAUCUGUAAGUGGAUGCAUUGGAAUGGAGCAAAGGAGGAAACUUUGUGUGUAUUUUUUUGUCAUAAAUGUAAUAUUUUUCAAACAAUACAUGACGAUUUGAAAUAAAAAAAUGCUAAUUUCCUUUAUAAAUGUCCUCCAUCAUAACCAAAAUAGAAAAUGUUAAAAACACCAGAGUGGACCUUUCAAUAAAAACUCUGAAACUCUUAAAAGUUUCGUUUAAGCGCUGCGCUCCACAGAAAACGGGUUAAUUGUGAAGAAGUCUCUCCAUAUCAAGCUGCGACAGUCACAGCUGAACUUCAGAAUCACGUGUUGUUUUCACUUUGAAAGGAAGUGUUUUCUCCUGCUAAUAAAGCAAAUUUGAAUUUCAAUCGACUUGAGAAAGAGAUGACUAAUAGCAGCAACAGAGGAAGAAAGGAAGGAGGAGAAUGACUGAAGCUGGUCCGUAUUUGAUUGGAGCGUUUUGUGUGGCAGUGAUUAUCAGAGGUGUGUUCAAUGGUUUUCUGUAGAUCAAGUUUCGUUUCUCGAUCAAAGAACAAAAGAAGAAGAAGAAGAAGAAGAAGGGGAUGAAAGGAGUGAUGGAUGAGUGUAUAAAUAAAGCGGCUGCGCCGAUUCGUCUGGAUGUGCGGCGCUUCCCGCCUCCCGGCGUCCUCUCCUGCUCGCUCUCUGCCGCCUGCACCUCCGUUCCCCUCUCGGGCCCACCUGCUGGGCCGGUCGCUCCUCCGCACGCCGAGCGGCAGUGAAAACAGGGGAGGCAUGCUGUUACCACGGCAACCGUAACCCUGCUUCGACUGCGGGCCACGAAAAAGUCCCGGCAUUUAAUCUCAGGAUCUUUUUGCCCCACUUUUUCAGUUUGGAGGGACAACGUAAACACACUGUGGUGAGGGGAAACGGCGCCGAGCUUUUAAUUAGGAACCAACGGUUUAUUCCAACCAACCAACAGAAAAAAAAAAAACAUUUUUUGGCUCCUAUCUCACUAAGUUGUUAAUUUAGUCAAAAUGCAUAAGGUUGUUUGUUGCUUUGAUGUACAUUUUCACAGACAUCACUCACAACUAUUUAACAUUUUGAACUACAAAUGUUAUUUUGAGGUCAAACGGACUCCCUCGCUCUGGAGUGAUUCGGGAUCCAAACACCUGAGAAGAAGCAGCGUUGCCUCUCCUCUUGUCUCAUUUAUCGUUGUUGCCACAAGUGGUUUGGCUUGGUCUCAGGAGGGCGCACGCUGCCGCUGCUGCUGCUCUCCACGGUGAGUAACGGCUGCAGUCGGCUGCUGUCGCACAGCUGCAGCAGUGUCCUUAAACAAGUCACGUAGCGUAAAAAAAAAAAAAGAAAAAUACUCCUUUUUGAUGCUUCAGCUUGAAUACUAACAGCUAAUAAACAGAGCAACUCUCUGGUUCUUAAUGUCCUAAUGAUGGUUUGAGUAGAUUUUACAUCAAAUCACAUUCAUAUAAACUACAUUUAGCCAAAAAUAUUGUUUCAAUCUUUUGGUUCAAAGAUAAUAAGCUUUCUGUGAAUCAUUCUCUGUUUGAACGUGGACUCAAAAAGAGUUUUUGUAGGACUGAACCAUUAAAAAAUGUGGAUUACAAAGUCUAAUAAAUACUACACUUUAACAUUAAAAACGUGACAAAUCAUCUUAAAGUGAAAUGAAAUAUCCAUUUUAAGACUGGUGGAAAACAAGCAGAUAAAUUCAGAUUUACUUGUAGGACCACAGACGACACUUUCAACUACAGUGAGAAUCAGACAGUUAGAGACAAACGUCUUCCAUUUAAGUUCAAAAACUAAAACAGGAUUUUAUUUUUGAUAAUUAUAAACGCUUACGCUUAAAGUCCCUUUCCGAUAAUCUUUUGAUCUAUUUUAGGAGUUCUCAGUGGGCUUUUAAUGAUGAAAAUCAAAACAUCUGUGUUGUUUCUAGGACAUAGUUUCUGCAGAGUGGCAGUAAUGAAUCGCAUAAACGUACGUCAACGCUACAAGCUUUUUCUAACAGUUUUUUUCCUGAUUUCCAACAAUUUGAAUAAACAAAUACUCAGAAAUACAAAUCAAAGCUCAAGUUUUUUUUUAUAUAUGUCCACAAGAACAUGUUAAAAAAAACAGCAAUUUUCAUCACUGUGGGUCUUUAGAUCACAACUUUGAGAAGUGAUGAUAUUUGAGAAGACGCCCUGGAUGAACUGUAAAGUCUGGAACCUUCUCAGUUCCAUAAAAUCUAUUAUAUGAAACGAUUAAAGAGCGAGCAAAACAUUGAGAAUCUUAAACUAGAAGUAGUCUUGUGAUCCACUUCUGUCCAUUUGCAAAUAAGGUACAUUGAAUGCUAAUUUACCAAUAAAACAUAUUUUUGUUAGGAUUUUAAGCAGAUAAAAGGGUUAAAGCUGAAAAGAUGGAGAACAGUUUUAAAAAACGUGCUUCAGUUUAUAUAAAAAAAAGGAGUGGAGUCACUGUGACUGCAGCUAUAACUGACACCAGCGCCCGCCCAUCCCGGAGCGGCACCUCAGCAGCGGUUCUUCUGAAUCCAGCGGAGGGAAGCCUCCUCGGCCCAUCCAGAUCACGUUACACAUGGCCCCGAGCUCUGAUGUGGCUUCAAAUAGAGAGCGCACAAACCCCGGCCCACAACCACACACAUCACUUCGGCGCAGGCUCCGUCCUGUGGUCUCCUCCUCAAUAUGAGAGAAUACAUUUCCAAACUACACCCCCCAACAUGCUGCUCUCAUUUAAAGUUUUUGGACGGAGGGGGGUACGGAGUUUGCCAGUGGCACACUUUACUGUCAUCUCGAAUGUUAGUUCUUAGGGUUUUUUGGUGCAGACCACCAACCUCCAAAGUUUUGGGCAACUUUUACACAGACGGUAAAAUAACUUUUUCAACUUUCUUUAAAGACACCCUCCAAAAAAAAAAAAAAAA